CUCCCAUGUACCCAUGUGGGUUCAUUCAGCCUUCACAGGACUAAGGACCCUGCCCCAGUCGAUCUAGCUCCCCGGGCUGUCUGCCUGGCGCUGGUGUGGCUCUGCGGGCUCCGGUGGCCACUCUUGCUGGUCCCCACUUUCAUGGGGCAACCCCGUACACCUUCAUCUGCAGUUACCUCUUGCGGCCACCUCGGGCACGUUGUCUGCGUCUCUUUGUUCCCACUUCAGGCGGCUGCAAGUCUCUGUGUUUCUGUCUAAGCCUGUCUGUGCCGCUCGGGUGGCUGGAUCAGCAUUCGUAAAUCAAUCAUAGGCAUGUCUUGUUCUUCGUUGUGCUAUUGUGUUUACUAGCCUCCACAGGAUGGUUUAGUGGAGUUUGUUGCAGGUUGGGUUGCCGAUGUGUGCCUGCGCCUCUUCGUCUCACGGUGCGGCGCUGGGUUUAUUGUGUCAUGGGCAUUUCAGCUUAUCAGCUGUCUGUGAGCAGCAACAGUGCUCUUUUCUCUCCUCCCAUCACCUCGUUAAAGGAGACGGACGCUCCCAGCGUCGCCUCCCUCUGAUCGAUCCGCUUGGUGCACAGCGUACCGGGCAGCUCCCUGCGUCUAUAUACACGCGCGCAUUGGCGCCAUUUUGAAUGCGCUAUCCAAGCUCCGCAUCGCAGCCCAUUCAAAGAAUUGCUUGGCAACGUGAUAGUUAGUUCAAUAUAAGUCAGUAGUGCUCUGGUCGCCACCGGUUCAUUCUAGUUACUGGUUCCACAUUCCACCAUGCAAUAGUUCCAUGUUUGCAGGGUCAGCGCUCUGCAUGACCCUGCCCUGUGCUGCAAUUGCAAGAUCAACUCCCUUGUCCCCGGUGGAUGCGUGAACUUAUACACGUUGCAAAGGGUAAUAUGAUUAAGCUGGCAUCUGUUUUGCUAGGAGCUGCUAUCACAUCUAAUCAGGGUCCCCCCUGUGUGCCUCCGUCAGGUCUCAGGCAACCCUUAGGCUGUGCUCGGCUUUAUUAUCAGUGAAACUUGAUUGCAUCCGUUUCAGGGUCUUCCUGUGUGGCACUCCGUAUACUAAGCUGGCCCUGUACAUCCGUGUUAUUGCGUUACCUUCGGUCCGGAUGGCCGCAACACGGAGCCUGCAGCCGUGGACACCAUGCGCGACCCGAAAAGCUGCCCUGUCAUAGGCCUGUCUAAUGACCAAGUCUCCACUGCGGCUGCAAGCGAAACCGCCCAUAAUGCUUGGACGGCUCACACGCCGUCACUUCGCUACAGCUGCUUGUGGGCACGCCGGUGCCUCGUAUGUGUUGCGCAUACACUGCCGAGUAUUGCAGUGUAUAUUGUACUGUCACUUAUUCAUGGGUGAGCAGCCUUGUAGUCUAUCACGCAUACACGCGGACUGCUUGGGGUUCCAGUCCCGUUUCGUCGCGCACCGGGCAUGCGCUUUUCAAUCACGGCACUGUUCGUUUGCCGUUUUACUCCGACGUCGGGCUUCUCCCCCGGGUCCCGCGCUGUGGCCACAGGGGGUCUUCACAGCUCUGCUCUACUCGCGGCCCCUUCUGGCAGACCCGAUCUGAGCGCAGCUCUCUCUCCUACAACGGGCUGCUCGCGAGUCAGCUGUCCUCCACAUCUCUUUGUUGUUGGCGGAUCGCCAUUUUAGAUUCCUCACAAGCGCACCGCCACAAAAUUCUUCCGGCUGAUUUCGCUCGCAUCACAGCGCUGAUCCUCACCAUCUCCAGCUCCAGUUGGGCAGUGUUCAGUUCAUGAACUCGGGCAAACGAUGUAUUCAGACCAGGAUGGUUUCAAUGUGUCACAUUUUCUCGGAUCAUUUCAGGAUCAUCAGGAGCCUCCUUGGAAACACGUCCUCCUACAUGGCUCUGUAGCCACGCCCCCAGCCGCACAGAGAGUUCUUUUCUUUUCUUUGUGAGGGGCAGGGCACCCUGGAAUGGGUUUGCCCCGAGAAAGGGGCCCGAGCUUUGCAAAGCGUCGCUGUUCCGGCGGCGUCCGGUGAGCUCCCGCUGGUCCUUAAAAAUCUGGGUGAGAUUUUGUAAAUCUCGCGCCAGGCCGUACCCAUAUCCGCAGCAUGUCUCCAAGGCGGACAACCUCUGGCAUGUCAGAACAAUGUAGGUACGGGAAGUCAGCCUCUGGAUGCGAGCCGGUCCCUUCCUGGGGAUCACCCCAGCUGCAGUGUUCGCCAAUCUUGUUCUUCCUCUGGGGGUUCAGGGCCGGCAUUCUGCCUCGGCGACACCUAGCAGCUGACUUGGAACUGGUGCGGACCAGGGGAAUCUGACUGUUUAAUUAAAACAAAGCAUUGCGAAGGCCUGUGGAGGGUGUUGACGCAAUGUGAUUUCUGCCAAGUGCUCCUAAUGUCAAAGUGAAGAAAUUCAAUGAAGCGUGGGUAAACGGAUGGGGUAACUAUGACCUUUAAGGUAUCCACAUGCCUCGUCAUCUUUCUGAGAUUCCCACUGUCCCUAUCUACUAUCUAGCGAAACCACAGCCAAGGGAACAAGCUUGGCAGAAUCGUCGGGGAAAGAAGACCCGGUUGAGUUUGACUCUAGUCUGGCACUGUGAAGAGACAUGAGGUAGGAUAAGUGGGAGGCCCUCGGGCCGCUGGUGAAAUACCACUACUCUUAUUGUUUUUCCACUUACCCGGUGAGGCGGGGGGCGAGCCCCAUGGGGCUCUCGCUUCUGGCUCCAAGCACCCGGCACCUGCGGGCACGACCCGCUCCGGGGACAGUGGCAGGUGGGGAGUUUGACUGGGGUGGUACACCCUGUCAAAGGAUAACGCAGGUGUCCUAAGGCGAACUCAAGGAGGACAGAAACCUCCCGCGGAGCAGACGGGCAAAAGCUAGCUUGAUCUCGAUUUUUCAGUAUGAAUAUAGACCGUGAAAGCAGGGCUUCACGAUCCUGCUGACUUUUGGGUUUCAAGCAGGAGGUAUCAGAAAGUUACCACAGGGAUAACUGGCUUGUGGCGGCCAAGCCUUCAUAGCGACGUCGCUUUUUGAUCCUUCGAUGUCGACUCUUCCUAUCAUUGUGAAACAGAUUUCACCAAGCAUCGGAUUGUUUACCCACUAAUAGGGAACGUGAGGUGGAUUUAGACCGUUGUGAGACAGGUUAGUUUUACCCUACUGAUGAUGUGUUGUUGCAAUAGUAAUCCUGUUCAGUACGAGAGGAACCGCAGGUUCAGACAUUUGGUGUGCAUGCUUGGCUGAGGAGCCAAUGGGGUGAAGCUACCAUCUGUGGGAUUAUGACUGAACGCCUCUACGUCCAAAAUCCCCCCCUCCACCCCAGACCGUGAUACUGCAGCGCUGUCGAGCAUCAGUUAGCUUAGGACAGCCGGCCUUGGGGCUGGUGUGUAGAGCCGCUUGCCUCAGGACUUGAGUGUGGACAGAAUGGGGGCCACCUCUCUCACCCAUAGUGCACCGCAUGUUU
rnacentral:rRNA from 1 species